rnacentral:rRNA from 1 species
CCUACGGGAGGCAGCAGUGGGGAAUAUUGCACAAUGGGGGAAACCCUGAUGCAGCGACGCCGCGUGAGAGAUGAAGUAUUUCGGUAUGUAAAGCUCUAUCAGCAGGGAAGAAAAUGACGGUACCUGACUAAGAAGCCCCGGCUAACGACGUGCCAGCAGCCGCGGUAAUACGGAGGGGGCAAGCGUUAUCCGGAUUUACUGGGUGUACAGGGAGCGUAGACGGCGGGGCAAGCCAGAUGUGAAAGCCCGGGGCUCAACCCCGGGACUGCAUUUGGAACGGUGCUGCUAGAGUGUCGGAGCGGCCGGCGGACUUCCUCGUGUCGCGGUGCACUGCGUAGCUAUUAGGAGG